rnacentral:other from 1 species
AAAUUACUAAGGUGUGCGCAUUGCUCUAAACAAAGUGUUGCCGAACAAUUAAUACUACUUUGGGGCUGGUCGAUGGUAGUUAUCAUAACAUGCCUUAUCAUUUGGUAGUUAGAAAGCUAUACAGCUGGCCCCACCUGCCUUGAAGCGGGUCAAUACUGAAGGGCGAUUAACGGCACCACUAGUUUUUCC